GAGUCUCAACAGCAGCUGAGCUGGAGCAGCAAACAUGCUGCUGCUGGCAGCUCUAACGGUCACAACUGCAUGGUCAUAUGGAUUUGCACAGGAAACUCCCAUACAGAGCCCUGUAUCCAUCACCAUGUCACGAGGAAAUACAGAUCUGAAGUGUCAUUUUAAAGACUUCUCUGGAAAUUUUGAUAACACCGUCAUACAUUGGUAUCAACAGAAGGAGAAUAAAGCUCCAGUGAGGAUGAUCUACUUUUCAUCAGGGUCAGUAGCGGUAGAUGAGAGCUUCCAAAGGCACAGAUACACGAUUCAAACUAUUUCUAGACAGAAGCUUUGCACUCUUACAAUAAGAAAUGUAAUUCCGGAUGAUGCUGCUACUUACUACUGUGCCUACUGGGACCCUCACUAUGGCAGAUGCCAAACAAUCACCUCUGCAAAUACUUUCUCGGCAGCUCUCCUGUAAAUGAUAUGAAAGGUAACAAAUCCGCUCCCAUGGUUUGGAUGAGCUGCUCAGCCAGAAGCAGUUCUGUCUAAAUCUCUCUGAGGAUUUGGAGAUCUGCUUCUCUGAAAUGAAGGAUUCUGAAGCUAUCUGCAAAGACCAUGUUGAUCAUUUCUUCAGUGACAAGUCUAUUUGGUGAUAAUCUUAACCUGGAAAUCUGUAUGGUUGGAAAGAAUCUGCCCAGUACACGUGUCUUCUGCAACAGAUAGCACAAAGUUUGAUUUGUAAUUAUGCCGACCAGGAGACUUGCUGUGGUGGGAAUCUUCAGGACAAAACACACACUGUAGCUGUCACUUAGACAUUGGUUGUGUGAGAUCCCAUCACUAUCAUGCGCCAUUCGUAUUCAUCUAGAAUCAGGUACCCGGCAGAUUUCUGCUCUGAAGUCAAAAGAAUAGCAAUGGACUGAUACACAUUUCAUCGGUCCCAGCAGAUUUUGGCCACAGGGUUUUAGUCUCAUGUUCUCUCCAUACAGUCCCCACAACAAAUGUGAUUGUAACGAACUGAGGUUGCCCGCUCAGGAGACUGUCCUGAAGUGCCGCUGCAAGGAGUGACUGUGUGCGUGCAUCUCUCCCUCUACUUGUUGAAGUCUAUUCCGUCCUUCUC